GUCUUUAGUGAUGAUCUAAGUUAAGUAACUUUCGUUUUUCUGAUAAAAUUUGUGAGGAAUGUUAUGUAGACCUGAACUGAAGAGAA